AAGGGGUUUGGGGCUCCCCGGUGGCGGGUGCUGUGGCCAAAAGAGAGAGCAGGGUCACAGAGUGCUUCAUUUAUGGGGCUGGCCUCGGCCAUCUCCUGCACAAACUUCUGUACGGGCACCCGAGGGCCAGCCUGCUUUUGAGGAACAGCAUGAGGAUGUCGGUGUCGAUGCUCAGCAGUGGAAGGAAGCUUCUUUUGGAGGCCAAGAAGAUGAAGUGGAAAGUGGGCCCGGCAUUGAAGGUGACAGUUCCCAGCCAUCGGGGACGGACCGAGUAUGCGAGCAGGUGCCUGACGCGGCCACUGACCCGGGAGGCACGGAUCGGGAGGUGAGGGAGCCGUGUUGGCAUGGUAGGGGAAAGGAUGAGUCUGGAAUGUGGCUGUUGGUGGAGAUGCACGGCAGGGAGCCGGACACGGGAGGGAGGGGGCGAACAGAGCAUCGUGAGAAGGUAGGUCAGCACGUGACAACGGAGGGGUCGUGCAGUGCGAGCACCUAUGUGACUAGUUAACGAAGGGACUCACAAAACUACAUGCAAAGCGGGAUGUCUGCCCCCAGCUCGUCG